rnacentral:rRNA from 1 species
CAGCAGUCGCCACGGUAAUACGAAGGGUGCAAGCGUUAAUCGGAAUUACUGGGCGUAAAGCGUGCGUAGGCGGUGAGUUAAGUCUGCUGUGAAAUCCCCGGGCUCAACCUGGGAAUGGCAGUGGAUACUGGCUCGCUAGAGUGUGUCAGAGGAUGGUGGAAUUCCCGGUGUAGCGGUGAAAUGCGUAGAGAUCGGGAGGAACAUCAGUGGCGAAGGCGGCCAUCUGGGACAACACUGACGCUGAGGCACGAAAGCGUGGGGAGCAAACAGGAUUAGAUACCCCAGUAGUCCCUGUCUCUUAUAC